GAGUUUUGAUCCUGGCUCAGGAUGAACGCUGGCGGCGUGCCUAAUACAUGCAAGUCGAACGCUUCACUUCGGUGAAGAGUGGCGAACGGGUGAGUAAUACAUAAGUAACCUGGCAUCUACAGGGGGAUAACUGAUGGAAACGUCAGCUAAGACCGCAUAGGUGUAGAGAUCGCAUGAACUCUAUAUGAAAAGUGCUACGGGACUGGUAGAUGAUGGACUUAUGGCGCAUUAGCUUGUUGGUAGGGUAACGGCCUACCAAGGCGACGAUGCGUAGCCGACCUGAGAGGGUGACCGGCCACACUGGGACUGAGACACGGCCCAGACUCCUACGGGAGGCAGCA
rnacentral:rRNA from 1 species